rnacentral:lncRNA from 1 species
UUUGAUCCAACGGUUCGUAACUGACCAACCCUAAAAUAUAAAAUUGUCCUUAACCCACCCCUGGACCUUAGAAACGUGUCUCAUUUACCUCUCCCAUCUCUCUCUAAUGAAAACCCUAGCCGCCCUUAUAACCCUUGCCGUCUCCGCCAUGGUCCAGGGGUGGGUUAAGGCGGUGGACCACCUCCAAACCCUACCAAAUUAACACCAUAUAAUCACCUCACCCUCUUCUUCCCAUAUAUCCUAACCAUUUCUUUCAAAGAAGCCUAGAACUUCUCGAAUCUAAGAUCCAAAACUCUAACUUUUCCAUUUCCAAUUUCGGGCAGUUUCUGGGCCAUUUGAACCCAACACUUCCAUUAUUCAACUGCUUUUGAUAAGAGCAAUGUUCAUCUAAAGUUCAUUUUUACCCCAUAAAAAUUGGUCGAGUUUGUGACUGGUCCCUUCCAAAAUGAGCCUUAGGUAAAAUUCUUUUCUGUUUUCUUUUUAUUUUUUGUUUUGUCUUCUUUCUUCUUUUAGCCUGCAUGACUUUGGUAAUCACAGUUUUAGUUCUUGUUCUCUUGGUUGGUACUGUCUAUUUGUUUCCUUUGUUUAUGAAGCAUGCUGAAUCUUACAAUUAUCUAAAGGUUGGUUUCAAUUGCAUAAAAUUUUAGGCUGAUUAGGGUUAGUUUUUAUGUUAUUGUUAUAAUCACAUGACUAUUUUGUUUUUUGUUUCCAUUUUUGUAAUUGUUCCUCUCUGGUAUUCUUUGUUUUAUAUGCAAUGAUUAGCUUAGUUUCAGUCAGAUUUUCAAAUGGUAAUUUAGUUGAUUAAUUUGUUUUGAUUUAUAAAUUAAUUAGGUUAAUUUAUAGGGUUCCUUUGCAUCUUCAUUCUAGUUCUUGUUUGUUUACUGUUUCGAUGUGUUAGUUGUUUAAACUUAGUCUUGUUUAAGGUUAAUUUGGCGAAUCAGUUAAUUCACUAAUUAGGAUUAAUUUGUUUGAAUUAAACCUUAGAUACCCUUAGGCCUAGAACUCAUUUCAGAUUUAAAAAAAGGAUAAUUGAAACAAGUUUAGAAACCCUAAUGUAGAAUCACCUAGUUGGUCCUAGAAGGUCCUAAGAGGAUUUUCUGAAAUCAAAAAAGGGAUCCGAAUGUAGGGUACAACUGAAAUAAUCAGUAAUUGAAGGGGUAAUUUUGGAUUUUUAAAUGAGGAAAAUAUCAUAAGGUUCUAGUAUCUGUACAGCUGUCCCCAUUUCCAGCAUGAAAAAUGCUAGAAUUGGGCUGAAAAGGGACAGACAACUAUCCAAAGAUGUUGUACUAUCUGGCAUUUCAGAAAUUAGGGUAGAAUAUUCUAUUUUUUUGCUAUAUUUGUGCAUUCUAUAUAAAGAAUAGGCAUUCACUCAUUCUCACAGACACAUAAAAUCCUCUGAAUACACUGAAAAUAUUCCCUAAAUGAACACUCAUUUUGAGGUUGUGUUUAAACUCACAAAAACCAUCUGCAUUUACUGAGAAGGUUUAGAAGUUCUGAUUUUGUCUUAAAAACUUUGGUUUAUCUAAGCUGGAUCUGGACUGAAAUUGGUUUUUCUGGUGCUGAAGUUUCAUGAUUCCAGCCUUUAAACUGCCUGAUGAUUGCUUCUCUUUCUGGGGUUUUAUUGGAUUUUCCUCUUGGCCACUAGACCUAUAUUUAGUCUCAGCUUUUGUUUCCAGAAGUAGGUAUGUUGAUAUCUUAUCUAUAGCCCCAUUUUGAAGUAUAUGAAUGGAAAUAUGAACUGCUAUUUUUGUUGAAAAUACAUGUUCUUCUAUUAAGUUUUCUUCUUCUUCUUUGAAACAUUCUCUGAAAGUUUACCCUAUGUUUCUCAGUUGAUGAAUGUUCCCUUGGUAUCUUUGUUAGUUCACAAUGUUAUGGAGUAUAGUCUCUUAGCUGCUGAAUACUUUUUUUUUCAUAAAAAAGACCAGGUUGGUUGAUUUGUUUUGCUUUGUUGUUGUUCCUUUAUUCCUAUUAAGUUUUUCGAAUCAGAAUAUCACCAUGCUUGGUUUCAGGUUUGGUUUGAAAUAGUUUAAUGAUAUGGCCUUUGUUGAUACUUGUUGUCAUUUAAUCUUAAGCAUGCUACUUUAAUUUCUGCCUGAUAUUGGUAUUAGAUAAACAAUAGCUAGGAACUUCAGUGAAUAUUUAAGGCAGUCUAGAAACAAAGAUGUGAAUCUGAUCACUGGUUGGUCAGAUUUGCACACUAGCUGAUAAUGGAAUCAGCUCAAAGCUAUGGAGUAUGAUGACAUAUUCUGCCUGCUGCCUUGAUGAAAAGAAACACAUGGAUAGCAUAUUUUGAAGUCUUGUAAUUUAUAUACAAUGAAGUUAUUCAAUUUAUGGAACAAAAGUUUGUAUAAACAAAUAUUUGUAGUUGCUUUAUUCAUUCCCUUUCCCUUCAUAGAAAAUAACAUUACAUUAGUAAUUAGAAUGAUAUUUAUAUCCUGUAUCAAAAGUGAAACUGCACCCUUGCCAUAUACUGUUCUUCCUUGUAGUAAUACUAUUUCUGGAAGUAAAAUAACGUACAUUUCUUGUCAAUCAUCUUUUAAAAAGGAAGCAUGAAGUGUUGAUUUUUGAAAA